AUACGUAGGUGGCAAGCGUUGUCCGGAAUUAUUGGGCGUAAAGCGCGCGCAGGCGGCUUCUUAAGUCUGAUGUGAAAUCUUGCGGCUCAACCGCAAAAGGUCAUUGGAAACUGGGGAGCUUGAGUGCAGAAGAGGAGAGUAGAAUUCCACGUGUAGCGGUGAAAUGCGUAGAGAUGUGGAGGAAUACCAGUGGCGAAGGCGGCUCUCUGGUCUGUUACUGACGCUGAGGUGCGAAAGCAUGGGGAGCAAACAGGAUUAGAUACCCUGGUAGUCCAUGCCGUAAACGAUGAAUGCUAGGUGUUAGGGGGGUCCAACCCCUUAGUGCUGAAGUUAACACAUUAAGCAUUCCGCCUGGGGAGUACGACCGCAAGGUUGAA
rnacentral:rRNA from 1 species